CUAUGCGCCUUGCCAGCCCGCUCAGUCAGAGUUUGAUCCUGGCUCAGGAUGAACGCUGGCGGCGUGCCUAACACAUGCAAGUCGAACGAAGAAUUUUUUGGAAGUUUUCGGAUGGAAGAAAAUUACUUAGUGGCGGACGGGUGAGUAACGCGUAAGUAAUCAACCUACAACACACGAAUAACUAAGAGAAAUCUUAGCUAAUACGAGAUGAAGUAAGUAUAUCGGGAGAUAUAAAUAUGAAAGCUGAGGCGGUUGUAGACGAGCUUGCGUCUGAUUAGCUAGUUGGCAGGUAAGAGCCUACCAAGGCGACGAUCAGUAGCCGGCCUGAGAGGGUGAACGGCCACAUUGGAACUGAGAGACGGUCCAA
rnacentral:rRNA from 1 species